rnacentral:tRNA from 1 species
CUGACCUUAGCUCAAUUGGUAGAGCGAAAGACUGUAGAGCGAGUGUGCUCUAAUCCGGAUGUUCAGUCAUCUUUAGGUCGGUGGUUCGAUUCCGCCAGGUCAGA